GACGAACGCUGGCGGCGUGCUUAACACAUGCAAGUCGAGCGGAAAGGCUCCUUCUGGGGUACUCGAGCGGCGAACGGGUGAGUAACACGUGAGUAAUCUGCCCUUGGCUUCGGGAUAGCCACCGGAAACGGUGAUUAAUACCGGAUAUGACCAUUCCACGCAUGUGGUGGUGGUGGAAAGUUUUUUCGGCCAGGGAUGUGCUCGCGGCCUACCAGCUUGAUGGUGAGGUAAUGGCUCACCAUGGCUUCGACGGGUAGCCGGCCUGAGAGGGUGACCGGUCACACUGGGACUGAGCCACGGCCCAGACUCCUACGGGAGGCAGCAGUGGGGAAUAUUGGACAAUGGGCGGAAGCCUGAUCCAGCAACGCCGCGUGAGGGAUGACGGCCUUCGGGUUGUAAACCUCUUUCGGUAGGGACGAAGCGCAAGUGACGGUACCUACUAAAGAAGCACCGGCCAACUACGUGCCAGCCGCCGCGGUAAUAC
rnacentral:rRNA from 1 species